ACUUCAGUUCGUUUGAUUGAUAGUGUGUGGGGGACAUUCCACGUUUUCCGCGCCGUAGCUAACGCAUUAAGUGCCCCGGCUGGGGAGUACGGCCGCAAGGCUAAAACUCAAAGGAAUUGACGGGGGCCCGCACAAGCGGCGGAGCAUGCGGAUUAAUUCGAUGCAACGCGAAGAACCUUACCAAGGCUUGACAUGAACCGGUAACGCCUGGAAACAGGUGCCCCGCUUGCGGUCGGUUUACAGGUGGUGCAUGGUUGUCGUCAGCUCGUGUCGUGAGAUGUUGGGUUAAGUCCCGCAACGAGCGCAACCCUCGUUCUAUGUUGCCAGCGCGUGAUGGCGGGGACUCAUAGGAGACUGCCGGGGUCAACUCGGAGGAAGGUGGGGAUGACGUA
rnacentral:rRNA from 1 species